rnacentral:rRNA from 1 species
GACGAACGCUGGCGGCGUGCUUAACACAUGCAAGUCGAGCGAGGCUCCUCCUUCGGGAGGAUGUCCUAGCGGCGAACGGGUGAGUAACACGUGGGCAACCUGCCCCUAGCACUGGGAUAACCCCGGGAAACCGGGGCUAAUACCGGAUACGACUCCUUCAGGCAUCUGUCGGAGUGGAAAAGGUUACUGGCUAGGGAUGGGCCCGCGGCCUAUCAGCUUGUUGGUGGGGUAACGGCCUACCAAGGCGACGACGGGUAGCCGGCCUGAGAGGGCGACCGGCCACACUGGGACUGAGACACGGCCCAGACUCCUACGGGAGGCAGCAGUGGGGAAUAUUGCACAAUGGGCGAAAGCCUGAUGCAGCGACGCCGCGUGAGGGAUGACGGCCUUCGGGUUGUAAACCUCUUUCAGCAGGGACGAAGCGAAAGUGACGGUACCUGCAGAAGAAGCACCGGCCAACUACGUGCCAGCCGCCGCAGUA